AUUGACAGCUUUACUUGCUUUCUGAUGAAUUUGUGUAAAACGUGAUAACGACACAAUAACCAUUUGCAAGACUUAGUUGAUUUGGUUUAUUUCAAAAGGUCAAGUUCUUGGACACACAUAAGCUGGAAAAUAAAUUAAGUGGGGAACAAUAUUUAUUGACAUGAUAGAGUAAAAGAAGUAAGUUGAUCCUAAAAAAUGAUUUAAAAGAAAAGUAUCCAAAAAAGAUAAUUCUUAAAAAUUAUCACUAUGUGAAAUCCCAAUACUACAGGUUACUAGUGAUACCAUUUUCCUACUAAUUUAUGCAAUUAUGGAGAAAACAUUAAUCUCUUUUCUCUUGUUGUUUCACUAAGUUUCGGUUAGUUCAGCUAUGACCCAAACCAACACUGCUUCUUCUGUUUAUUGCAAUGAAUUAUGAUGGUUUUAGUGUGUCUAAAGUUUGAAAUCUGGCAGUUUUUACCAUCAAGAAAAGUUAUGGAGAAAGCCCAAAAGCUUAGAAGUACUCUAACUAAAGAGAUGCUUUCCGGCACGAUGUCUACUAAUAUACUUGCCAUGACAUUUAGACAAGUGACUCUGCAACAUCUUUGGAACUUUGAACUAGUACUUUUUAUAACAGGAGCAGAAAGAAAUAUGAAUGAUCUAGAAACACAGAGAGAGGUGCUGCAGGAUACUGAUAGGUUGAGUUCUGUUAUUCCUUUCGUAUCAGCAGGUACCUCCAUCUUUUGCCAUCACCUCAUCAGAUGAACGGAGAUCGAGAUCCCUCUCGUGCCUACGAAUGAGAUAGGCUAGUGUUGUGUGUAGUAUUAAAGGUCCAAGGGUGUAACAAUUCUUCAGUUGUUAAUAUUAUUCCAUCAUUUGGUCUAUCUAUCUACCUUUAUCUUAUUGCACUUUGUAGAUUCAUAGUGGACUGUUUUGUGUCCUUGAAUCCGAAAUUUGUUCUCAUUGUGUUCAUCUUUU